CCUAGUAACGGCGAGUGAAGCGGGAACGGCUCAAAUUUGUAAUCUGGCGGUCCACGGCCGUCCGAGUUGUAAUCUGGAGAAGCGUUUUCAGCGCCGGCCCGCGUACAAGUCCCCUGGAACGGGGCGUCGCAGAGGGUGAGAAUCCCGUCUCUGACGCGGUUCGUGCCGGCGCGUUGCGAUGCGCUCUCGAAGAGUCGAGUUGUUUGGGAAUGCAGCUCAAAACGGGUGGUAAAUUCCAUCUAAAGCUAAAUACUGGCGAAAGACCGAUAGCGAACAAGUACCGUGAGGGAAAGAUGAAAAGCACUUUGGAAAGAGAGUCAAACAGUACGUGAAAUUGUUGAAAGGGAAACGCUCCAAGUCAGUCGCGUCCGCCGGGACUCAGUCGCCCCUCUCGAGGAGCGACGUACUUCCCGGGUCGGGACGGGCCAGCGUCGAUUUCGACCGUCGUACAAAGGCGCGAGGAACGUGGCACCUUCGGGUGUGUUAUAGCCUCGCGUUCCGCAUGCGACGGUGGGGAUCGAGGAUCGCAGCGCGCCUCCAACGGUCGGGGUUCGCCCACGUAACGCGC
rnacentral:rRNA from 1 species